GAGACGUCUGACGGAGCACGCCGCGUGAGUGAUGAAGGUUUUCGGAUCGUAAAGCUCUGUUGUUAGGGAAGAACAAGUGCCGUUCAAAUAGGGCGGCACCUUGACGGUACCUAACCAGAAAGCCACGGCUAACUACGUGCCAGCAGCCGCGGUAAUACGUAGGUGGCAAGCGUUGUCCGGAAUUAUUGGGCGUAAAGGGCUCGCAGGCGGUUUCUUAAGUCUGAUGUGAAAGCCCCCGGCUCAACCGGGGAGGGUCAUUGGAAACUGGGGAACUUGAGUGCAGAAGAGGAGAGUGGAAUUCCACGUGUAGCGGUGAAAUGCGUAGAGAUGUGGAGGAACACCAGUGGCGAAGGCGACUCUCUGGUCUGUAACUGACGCUGAGGAGCGAAAGCGUGGGGAGCGAACAGGAUUAGAUACCCUGGUAGUCCACGCCGUAAACGAUGAGUGCUAAGUGUUAGGGGGUUUCCGCCCCUUAGUGCUGCAGCUAACGCAUUAAGCACUCCGCCUGGGGAGUACGGUCGCAAGACUGAAACUCAAAGGAAUUGACGGGGGCCCGCACAAGCGGUGGAGCAUGUGGUUUAAUUCGAAGCAACGCGAAGAACCUUACCAGGUCUUGACAUCCUCUGACAAUCCUAGAGAUAGGACGUCCCCUUCGGGGGCAGAGUGACAGGUGGUGCAUGGUUGUCGUCAGCUCGUGUCGUGAGAUGUUGGGUUAAGUCCCGCAACGAGCGCAACCCUUGAUCUUAGUUGCCAGCAUUCAGUUGGGCACUCUAAGGUGACUGCCGGUGACAAACCGGAGGAAGGUGGGGAUGACGUCAAAUCAUCAUGCCCCUUAUGACCUGGGCUACACACGUGCUACAAUGCACAGAACAAGGGCAGCGAA
rnacentral:rRNA from 1 species